rfam:Bacteroidetes bacterium CG2_30_33_31 cg2_3.0_scaffold_307_c, whole genome shotgun sequence.
UCAAAGUGGAGGCCAGAAACCACUUUAAUAAACGGGGCGUAAUCUGAAAAGCCAUAAGAGUAGGAGAAAU